GCAGUGAAUUUGCUCUGAUUCUUUAGCGUUUGCAACUUUGGAGCAAAGAUUGAUAAAUAGAGAGAUGCAAACAGAGAAAUUAGAGUCGAUAAAAUCGGUUGCAGCAGAUACAAGAAGGAAGCAUAGAGUUUUGGCUGAAUUGAAGAGGCUUGAACAAGAAACUCGUCAUUUAGAGAUAGGAUGCCGCCUAGCCCUAAUCCGCAAUCUUUUCACGCCACCUGCAACCCAGAACAGACUGCUGCCCUUCGCGCCACUAGCAACCUCUUGUUCCAUCAAAUCCUAUUUAAUUGCAAUUAGUAGUGGUUCAAUUUCUCAUUCAGAUUGGUACCAUGACAGAUAAGAUGAGGUAGGUAAUCCACUUUUGGACUUCAAUACAAAUUUUAUUACGAUACCAAUAGUAGGUACUCAGUUUUGGGAACUUUUACAUAUUCUUUUGGUGUUUGCGUAAAUUGUUGUGGUGUUUACGUAACAAGUUAAGUAAACUAAGCAAGCCCAAAGUUCACCAUGGCCUCCAUCUCCAUCUGAGGCAUCA